UAAACAAAAAACCCAAGGUGGAGGUGAGAAAGAAGACACUCUGGUCUCCAUAAACCUCUGGUCUCUGUACACAGACAUAGACAUGUGCAUGCAUGGCACACAUAGGCCACCCAGAAGUUAAAUUCUUUAUGGAAGAAAAAGAACAUUUCUUGUGUUACACCUGUUCUAAAAGAAUAGUGAUCUUGGCUUUCAUUUCUCACUACUCAUCAAAUAGCUUUUGCCCUGAAGGUAAAAUAUGAGGCCGUGCACUGUAGCUGAGACAUUCGAUAUUGAACACCGGAAGUUCCAACCCCACCAUGUGCGUGUGAAGGCAGCAGUCUGUCUGCAAUGAGGCCGUUGUUGUCAUCCACAACUUAACGGUUACCACCGUACUAACUGCUCUGCUGCUCUGCGGGACCCGUGGGUGGAAUGAGGGCCAUCUGUCAUAAACAUUCUUGAGGAUACCAGACAUACUUUGUUUUCCCUAUUAGGGGCUUCCUCCUUUCUCACAAGAUGGAUUCCCCAGUUCUGGGGAGUUACGGGACGUCACGAGACUUUGGGAGUAGGCGAUGGAAUGUGAAAAGAGUUGAUCUUGAUGGGGAACGACCAAGCAGUGACAUCUACAAGCUGAAGGCACUUGGGCAAGUGACUCUACCUAUAGCAACUCUUCUCCCUCUGUUCGCCUCUCCAGGGAAACAGAAGCCCUGUCGUACCUGCUUCACUGAGUAGUUUUGAGGUAGAAGUUAGAUUAUGCCUAUGAAAUUGGUUUUGAAAACUAACACAUACAGAAGAACUUGUAGAAAAUAUUAGUGUGUAGAAAAUGUUAUCAGUAAACUGCCCAUUUCCAUCGCAAGCAGGUAUCUAUGGGAGCCGUUCCUGGUGGGGAGGACAAGCCACAGGGGACAAGACAAAGUCCCUGUUGUUACAAACCUCAGCUGGUAGGAGGAGACAGACAGUUAAAACUGCUAUGAUGGAAACGAAGCGAUGCCAUGCACCGAGGAGUGACUAACAGGCUUCUCUAGUGGGGUGACCAGAGGAGAGGAGGUGCAGUCUGACCCGUGUCCUGGAUGUGAGCGUGACGCUCUUUGAAAAGAGGGCUCUAGGCAAAGGCAGCGUGAAAAUGUACUGAAGGGAGGACCUUUGUCUCCUGAGGACCAGCAAGAACACCGGAGGGGCUGGAGCAGAGAGAGCUGGGCUUGGAAAGGCACUUGCAGACUAGACUCCAAGAGACACCCUGUAUUGCUGGGAAACGGGCUCACCUGGUGAGAGGACAGAACCAAGCCCUGUUUUUAGCAGGGCUAAAUGAAAAGCAAAACUCUUCUCCCUGUGAGACCGUGAACUUCAACAUGUCGGUGACAUCACACGCUAGCUUCACGUGGCUUUACUGGGGAGCUAACGAGGUACAUGGUUCAGUUGUAGGAGGCUCCUCACAUUCAUAGGUAAAUUAUACAUAUUUCCCCCUUUGCAACCCUCAGCAACUUGGCCCUGUGCAAUGUACAAAUGAUAGGACAGGUUUCUGUCCCCAGGACUCCGGCGGCAUGUCAGGCCCUGGAGGUUUAUAAAGAUGCCUGCCGUGGGUGUUCUCUAAGUCUUCCCAUCUGACUCAGCAGGCCUGGCAUGGAGGCUUCUGUAGGUCACCCUGCUUCCUCAUUCCUUACUGAGACCCAGAGCCCAGACAGUCCACAACCCACCCCUUUCAGGCCCCCUCCUUCCUUCUCGCCCUUCCUCCCCCAGCACCCUCACUACACCGCUGCAGAGCUCCUCGGACACGCUCCCUUUCUGGCAGCACACAUAUUCUCUUGUGGUUCCAUUUUUUACACAGGCUGUUUCUAGAGAAUCCUCAUACUCUGUAAAGCUGGGGGACAUUUCCGAAGAUGAUUAGAUUGUAAGGGUUCUGACCUAACAAAUUCAAUCCACUGACGAAUCCGAAUUUUGGAUGGACACCUGGAAGGCGGUGGAAAAUGGAAGAGACACAAAGUUGGAGAAAGUAAAUCUUUGGGGGGCCUGCGCUGAACGCACACCUGGUCCAGGCCUCUUACUGUGCUUUCCUUUGCUUCCUGGCUACUGUAAGGACCAAUGAACGGAACAUAGCAUGGUGCCCUGGGACAUCAAAUAGAUCAACCAAGCUCUUCUCAGCUGACCGAACACAGGGACCCUGGAAUCCAGGACGUUUAGAGCUAAAACUGCCUCCUUGUCGUCUGCAGCUCAGAGACAUCCCUUCUAGCCAAUGUGCUGGAAGCCAGUGGUCAGGGCACCAGUUCUAGAACCCUCUGAAAGAGCUCUGCAUGUUCUCUAUCUAAGUGCUGACACAUAAAGGACAAGGAGGAAAUCGAUUCCGGGAAACGAGCCUCUGUGGUCCUUCACUGCACAUCAUCUCUACUCCUCUGAUAGCUCUGACAUUGGUGUGAACAUUGUGCUAUGCCUAGCAUUUCAGGCUUCUAGAACUAUAUUAGAUGGGUUUGGAGAACUAUUCCAUAACUCACAGAAGCAACAAAAACUACAGGGUGUGUAUUACCUUAUAUCUUAUCCUAAAUUAACCCCGAGCUUGCCUAGACAGAUUUUAUUAUAAUGAAGCCUUGGAAGUCUCAAAGAAUAUUAUUAUCCUAUUGUCUUAAGUGAUCUUAUCAUUGUUUAUAUAUAUUUUAAUUUCUAUUCAUUUA
rnacentral:sRNA from 1 species